rnacentral:rRNA from 1 species
UACGUAGGGGGCAAGCGUUGUCCGGAAUCAUUGGGCGUAAAGGGCGCGUAGGUGGCCUUCUAAGUUGAACGUGAAAUCCCUGGGCUCAACCCAGGAACUGCGUCCAAGACUGGGAGGCUUGAAUCCGGGAGAGGGAUGCGGAAUUCCAGGUGUAGCGGUGAAAUGCGUAGAUAUCAGGAGGAACACCGGUGGCGAAGGCGGUUCUCUGGGCCUGUACUGACGCUGAGGAACGAAAGCGUGGGGAGCGAACAGG